UAUUAAGUUGAAACACCGCUUCUCACACGAUCACCGAACUUAAGCAACAUCGAGCCUUAUCAAUAGUUAGAUGGGUGACCGCUUGGGAAUACCAUGU